rnacentral:rRNA from 1 species
AUUGAACGCUUUCGGCAGGCUUAACACAUGCAAGUCGAACGAUGAUUUCCCAGCUUGCUGGGAAUGAUUAGUGGCGGACGGGUGAGUAACAUUUAGGAAUCUGCCUAGUAGUGGGGGAUAGCUCGGGGAAACUCGAAUUAAUACCGCAUACGACCUACGGGUGAAAGGGGGCGCAAGCUCUUGCUAUUAGAUGAGCCUAAAUCAGAUUAGCUAGUUGGUGGGGUAAAGGCCCACCAAGGCGACGAUCUGUAACUGGUCUGAGAGGAUGAUCAGUCACACCGGAACUGAGACACGGUCCGGACUCCUACGGGAGGCAGCAGUGGGGAAUAUUGGACAAUGGGGGCAACCCUGAUCCAGCCAUGCCGCGUGUGUGAAGAAGGCCUUUUGGUUGUAAAGCACUUUAAGCAGGGAGGAGAGGCUAAUGGUUAAUACCCAUUAGAUUAGACGUUACCUGCAGAAUAAGCACCGGCUAACUCUGUGCCAGCAGCCGCGGUAAUACAGAGGGUGCGAGCGUUAAUCGGAAUUACUGGGCGUAAAGCGAGUGUAGGUGGCUCAUUAAGUCACAUGUGAAAUCCCCGGGCUUAACCUGGGAACUGCAUGUGAUACUGGUGGUGCUAGAAUAUGUGAGAGGGAAGUAGAAUUCCAGGUGUAGCGGUGAAAUGCGUAGAGAUCUGGAGGAAUACCGAUGGCGAAGGCAGCUUCCUGGCAUAAUAUUGACACUGAGAUUCGAAAGCGUGGGUAGCAAACAGGAUUAGAUACCCUGGUAGUCCACGCCGUAAACGAUGUCUACUAGCCGUUGGGGUCCUUGAGACUUUAGUGGCGCAGUUAACGCGAUAAGUAGACCGCCUGGGGAGUACGGCCGCAAGGUUAAAACUCAAAUGAAUUGACGGGGGCCCGCACAAGCGGUGGAGCAUGUGGUUUAAUUCGAUGCAACGCGAAGAACCCUACCUGGUCUUGACAUAGUGAGAAUCCUGCAGAGAUGCGGGAGUGCCUUCGGGAAUUCACAUACAGGUGCUGCAUGGCUGUCGUCAGCUCGUGUCGUGAGAUGUUGGGUUAAGUCCCGCAACGAGCGCAACCCUUUUCCUUAUUUGCCAGCGGGUUAAGCCGGGAACUUUAAGGAUACUGCCAGUGACAAACUGGAGGAAGGCGGGGACGACGUCAAGUCAUCAUGGCCCUUACGACCAGGGCUACACACGUGCUACAAUGGUAGGUACAGAGGGUUGCUACACAGCGAUGUGAUGCUAAUCUCAAAAAGCCUAUCGUAGUCCGGAUUGGAGUCUGCAACUCGACUCCAUGAAGUCGGAAUCGCUAGUAAUCGCAGAUCAGAAUGCUGCGGUGAAUACGUUCCCGGGCCU